rnacentral:rRNA from 1 species
UUAGUCUUAUAAUUUAAGACUGGAAUGAAAGGGUCCAUUAAAGAGGCUUUAUUUAUAAAAUAAACUUUAAAUUUUACCUUUUAGUAAAAAGGCUAAAAUAAAUCUUAUAGACAAGAAGACCCUAUAAAUCUUUACACCCGAAAAUCCCAAAAAUUAUAAGUGUGUUUAACUGGGGCGGUAAAAGAUACACACAUCUUUAAACAAUUAAAACAAAAUUCCCAUACCUAGAACUUCUAAAAAUAAAACAAGUUACUUUAGGGAUAACAGCGUCAUGUUCUUUGAAAGCUCAAAUUGACAAGAACGUUUGCGACCUCGAUGUUGAAUUGGGUUACCUUUACCAUUGCGCAAGAGCAAAAAU